rnacentral:rRNA from 1 species
AUGAGAAGGCAGGGGCGCAAUGAGGCCUCCCCGUCGAUCAUCCACACGUCCUCCAUAGCCCUCCUCCAGGAGCGGUUCAGGAACCUGCAGAGGGUCAAGGAGAUGAGGGAGGGAAGGGAGCUGCAGCGGGUGCACCACUCCGCCGACGCCACCGACCGCGCCGGCUCCCCGUUGCCGCCGGCGCCUCUGGACCUUGGCCUGCAGCCGACGGCGGCCAGCGGCGACGAGCGGCCGAGGUGGUUCUUGCACCCGGACCUGGUGCGCCCGUCUAGGCCCCUGCACGGCGCGUCCGCCUACAGCGGGUUCGGCGGGAACGGCGGCGUCCAGGCGUCGCAGCCCGCGGCGGCGGCGGCGAGCUCGUGGGGGGAGGUGCCGAGAAUGCAGAAUUCAGGCUAUAGGGGUGAUGUAGACGUGGACACCUCGCUUCAUCUGUAA